rnacentral:rRNA from 1 species
AUUGAACGCUGGCGGCAGGCUUAACACAUGCAAGUCGAGCGGUGUGAUGGUGCUUGCACUAUCACUUAGCGGCGGACGGGUGAGUAAUGCUUAGGAAUCUGCCUAUUAGUGGGGGACAACAUCUCGAAAGGGAUGCUAAUACCGCAUACGUCCUAUGGGAGAAAGCAGGGGAUCACUUGUGACCUUGCGCUAAUAGAUGAGCCUAAGUCGGAUUAGCUAGUUGGUGGGGUAAAGGCCUACCAAGGCGACGAUCUGUAGCGGGUCUGAGAGGAUGAUCCGCCACACUGGGACUGAGACACGGCCCAGACUCCUACGGGGGGCAGCAGUGGGGAAUAUUGGACAAUGGGGGGAACCCUGAUCCAGCCAUGCCGCGUGUGUGAAGAAGGCCUUAUGGUUGUAAAGCACUUUAAGCGAGGAGGAGGCUCUUUUGGUUAAUACCCAAGAUGAGUGGACGUUACUCGCAGAAUAAGCACCAGCUAACUCUGUGCCAGCCGCCGCAGUAA